rnacentral:rRNA from 1 species
CGGCGGACGGGUGAGUAACGCGUGGGUAACCUGCCUCAUACAGGGGGAUAACAGUUGGAAACGGCUGCUAAUACCGCAUAAGCGCACAGUACCGCAUGGUACGGUGUGAAAAACUCCGGUGGUAUAAGAUGGACCCGCGUUGGAUUAGCUAGUUGGUGAGGUAACGGCCCACCAAGGCGACGAUCCAUAGCCGACCUGAGAGGGUGACCGGCCACAUUGGGACUGAGACACGGCCCAG